rnacentral:rRNA from 1 species
CUUUACUGUAGCCUGGUAUUGGGUUCGGGCUUUGACUGCGCAGGAUAGGUGGGAGACUGAGAAGUGUGCCUUGUGGGGCACAUAGAGUCAACGGUGAGAUACCACACUGUCAGAGCUAGAAUUCUAACCUUCACCCGUGAUCCGGGGAAGGAACCGUAUCAGGUGGGCAGUUUGACUGGGGCGGUCGCCUCCUAAAAGGUAACGGAGGCGCGCAAAGGUGUUCUCAGGCUGGUUGGAAAUCAGCCGUAGAGUGUAAAGGCAGAAGAACGCUUGACUGUGAGAGUGACAACUCAAGCAGGGUGGAAACACGGCCUUAGUGAUCCGACGGCAUGCGCGUGGAAGUGCCGUCGCUCAACGGAUAAAAGUUA